rnacentral:rRNA from 1 species
ACCUGCGGAAGGAUCAUUACAGAGUUCCUGCCCUCACGGGUAGAAACCCCACCCUUGUGUAUAUUAUAUUGUUGCUUUAGCAGGUCGCCCUCUGGGCGUCGGCCUCGGCUGACUGUGCCUGCUAGAGGACCCUAAAUUUUGAAAUACAGUGUCGUCUGAGUACUAUUUAAUAGUUAAAACUUUCAACAACGGAUCUCUUGGUUCUGGCAUCGAUGAAGAACGCAGCGAAAUGCGAUAAGUAAUGUGAAUUGCAGAAUUCAGUGAAUCAUCGAAUCUUUGAACGCACAUUGCGCCCCUUGGUAUUCCGGGGGGCAUGCCUGUUCGAGCGUCAUUUAGACCAACUCCCGCUCCGGCGGGGUCUUGGGCUGCGCCUUUGGGCGGGCCUUAAAACCAGUGGCGGUGCCCUAAGGCUCUACGCGUAGUAAUUCUUCUCGCGAUAGGGUCCUUGCGGUGUCUUGCCAGCAACCCCCAACUCUCUAGGGUUGACCUCGGAUCAGGUAGGGAUACCCGCUGAACUUAAGCAUAUCAA